rnacentral:rRNA from 1 species
CGAAGAGCGAUGGAAGCUUGCUUCUAUCAAUCUUAGUGGCGAACGGGUGAGUAACGCGUAAUCAACCUACCCUUCAGAGGGGGACAACAGUUGGAAACGACUGCUAAUACCGCAUACAAUCCAAUCUCGGCAUCGAGACUGGAUGAAAGGUGGCCUCUAUUUAUAAGCUAUCACUGAAGGAGGGGAUUGCGUCUGAUUAGCUAGUUGGAGGGGUAACGGCCCACCAAGGCGAUGAUCAGUAGCCGGUCUGAGAGGAUGAACGGCCACAUUGGGACUGAGACACGGCCCAGACUCCUACGGGAGGCAGCAGUGGGGAAUCUUCCGCAAUGGACGAAAGUCUGACGGAGCAACGCCGCGUGAGUGAUGACGGCCUUCGGGUUGUAAAGCUCUGUUAAUCGGGACGAAUGGUUCUUGUGCAAAUAGUGCGAGGAUUUGACGGUACCGGAAUAGAAAGCCACGGCUAACUACGUGCCAGCAGCCGCGGUAAUACGUAGGUGGCAAGCGUUGUCCGGAAUUAUUGGGCGUAAAGCGCGCGCAGGCGGAUUGGUCAGUCUGUCUUAAAAGUUCGGGGCUUAACCCCGUGAUGGGAUGGAAACUGCCAAUCUAGAGUAUCGGAGAGGAAAGUGGAAUUCCUAGUGUAGCGGUGAAAUGCGUAGAUAUUAGGAAGAACACCAGUGGCGAAGGCGACUUUCUGGACGA